UGGGUGGUGGCUCAGUGGUAGAGCGCUCGCCUAGCACAAGCAAGACCCUGGAUUCGAUCCUCAGCACCCCAU
rnacentral:tRNA from 1 species